CAAAGGCCACACACAAACAAACUGGCAGAGAUCUUACAGCUGGCAGCUAAUGCGCAUUCCAGUUUUACUGUAUUUAAAGCAUCAUGCCCCACAAAACUGACACCAGCAAAACUGAGCGUCAAACUGCGAAUUAGCUGAAAUACGAAAGCAAUGGCAACCACUGGUCAAGUGGAUUAUUCACGUCUGGUAAUGCCAGCUUUGAUACUGACUUGCUGGAUUUUGGGUUGUGUAGUUGCGGUUUAUAUUGUCUUCUCCUGAAACAAAAAGAAGAUUUAUGCAAGGAAGAUAAUGCACCAAAGCCAUUGCCAGUCAAGAACUUCUAUUCCUUCUUUCCUUCCUGCAAUUUUCUGUGCAAUGUUGUUCUUCUUUCGGCUUUUCCUGGUUAGGGAUCGCCACAGUGGAACUCCGGUCCAUUAAUGAUUGGCAGUAGAUUUUUUAUGGGUGCCAAAGUGCCAGCUCGACGCCCAACCUUCAAUGAAGGCAUGCAAUUUUUUGUGCAAUCUUGUAGCAAAAUAAUUUACAAAAAAGAUGCCUACAUUCAGUUAAUUAAAAUGUUAGACUAGGUAGUAUUUGAAUAAAAAGUGUGCCUCCUGUGCAAUGUACUCUAAAACUGUCAGUAAAGUCAUUUGUAUUUUUGAAGCUAUGUCAUACAAUAGUUAUUAGGCAUGUUAUUGGAUGUUAAGUAGAAUUAUGGUAUAAAUAAAUUAAUUGUAAUAGAAACUGCUUUUUAAUUUAAUAAAAAAUGACUAAAGUUUAAAA